rnacentral:misc_RNA from 1 species
AACGCACAUUGCGCCCCUCGGUAUUCCGUGGGGCAUGCCUGUUCGAGCGUCAUUUACACCCUCAAGCCUCGCUUGGUAUUGGGCGUUUGUCCUGCCUCGGUGCCGGACUCGCCUCAAAGUCAUUGGCAGCCUGUUUUCGCCCGCUUCGCACAGCACAGCCGUGCGUGGAGCCUGGGCGCGAUGGGCUCUCCACAAGCAACCCCCUCAGUUUGACCUCGGAUCAGGUAGGGAUACCCGCUGAACUUAA